GUGUCAGCCGCCGCGGUAAUACGGAGGGUGCAAGCGUUGUCCGGAAUCACUGGGUGUAAAGGGUGUGUAGGCGGGACUGUAAGUCAGAAGUGAAAUCCCACGGCUCAACCGUGGAACUGCUUUUGAUACUGCAGUUCUUGAGUAUCGGAGAGGUUGCUAGAAUUCGUGGUGUAGCGGUGAAAUGCGUAGAUAUCACGAGGAAUACCAGAGGCGUAGGCGGGCAACUGGACGAUUACUGACGCUGAGGCACGAAAGCGUGGGGAGCAAACAGGAUUAGAUACCCUGGUAGUCCACGCUGUAAACGAUGGAUGCUCGAUGUCGCCCCUUUUUUGGGGCGGUGUCUAAGCUAACGCAUUAAGCAUCCCACCUGGGGAGUACGCUCGCAAGAGUGAAACUCAAAUGAAUUGACGGGG
rnacentral:rRNA from 1 species